GACGAACGCUGGCGGCGUGCUUAACACAUGCAAGUCGAACGGAAAGGCCCUGCUUUUGUGGGGUGCUCGAGUGGCGAACGGGUGAGUAACACGUGAGUAACCUGCCCUUGACUUUGGGAUAACUUCAGGAAACUGGGGCUAAUACCGGAUAGGAGCUCCUGCUGCAUGGUGGGGGUUGGAAAGUUUCGGCGGUUGGGGAUGGACUCGCGGCUUAUCAGCUUGUUGGUGGGGUAGUGGCUUACGAAGGCUUUGACGGGUAGCCGGCCUGAGAGGGUGACCGGCCACAUUGGGACGGAGAUACGGCCCAGACUCCUACGGGAGGCAGCAGUGGGGAAUAUUGCACAAUGGGCGGAAGCCUGAUGCAGCAACGCCGCGUGCGGGAUGACGGCCUUCGGGUUGUAAACCGCUUUCGCCUGUGACGAAGCGUGAGUGACGGUAAUGGGUAAAGAAGCACCGGCUAACUACGUG
rnacentral:rRNA from 1 species